rnacentral:rRNA from 1 species
CUUUACUGCACCUUUAUAUUGUUCUUAAAUUUAAACUAUGUAGCAUAUGUGGGAGUUUUAGAAAUAAAACAUCAGUGAAAUACCACUUUUUUUGAAUUUAGAACUUAAUUUUCUGUUUUAUGAAAAGACAGUGUAUGGUUGGUAGUUUAACUGGGGCGGUUUCCUCCUAAAGAGUAACGGAGGAGUACAAAGGUAAGUUCAAACUGGAAUUAUAAAUCAGUUGUGGAGCGCAAUAGUAAAAGCUUGCUUGACUAUGAGACAGACAUGUCAAAUAGAAACGAAAGUUUGUUAUAGUGAUCCGGUAAUUUUGCGUGGAAAAGUUAUCGCUCAACGGAUAAAAGGUA